rnacentral:rRNA from 1 species
UGAGGAACAUGACUUUCGGUGGGGGAGUAGCCGGCCCAACGGCCGGGUAAUACCGCGUACGACCUUUUGGGGACAUCCCCGAGGGGUGAAAGCAGCAAUGCGCCGAAAGAGUGCCUCGCGGCCUAUCAGCUAGUUGGUGGGGUAAUGGCUCACCAAGGCGACGACGGGGUAGCUGGUCUGAGAGGAUGGUCAGCCACAUUGGGACUGAGACACGGCCCAGACCUCCGUACGGGGAGCAG